rfam:Hepacivirus hominis isolate 1316-1 polyprotein gene, complete cds
UUGGCCCCUUUUCGGGAAUGAGGGUUGCGGGUGGGCAGGUUGGCUCCUGUCCCCUCGUGGCUCUCGCCCGAGCUGGGGCCC